GCUGCGAUAGCUCAGUUGGUAGAGCAUAAGACUGUGAAUCUCAGGGUUGUGGACAAAGGAUUCCUGCAUUACAGUG